ACACAAUAAAACGUUCUCUACAAGCUUACCUGAAGGACAUUCCCGAAUAACGCGGUCUGAUGUCUUGGGAGGAAAGCCCCCUGGGCGCGGAAAUCGCAGCCGAAGUGACUUUGCGAUUGGGAGGAAUGAUCGCCGAGUUGCUUUUAAUGGGGUGACACGCGAACUGGAAAGCAAGGCUUCGGCCUUGCUUUUUUAU
rnacentral:sRNA from 1 species